rnacentral:tRNA from 1 species
GCGUUGGUGGUUCAGUGGUAGAAUACUCGCCUGCCACGCGGGUGACCCGGGUUCGAUUCCCGGCCGACGCA